GGGAGGAGAGUUGCUGAUGUGUCGUAUCAGCCCGGAGAGCAGAAGAAUUCAGUCAUACGGCUGGGUGAGGGCGAAUGGGAGCCGACAAGUGGACGGGGAGGCUUCAUGAACAUCUACUGCGGGCCUGAAACUGCGAAGAUUAAGUUUCCGAUCCCGCGUUUGGACCGAAUUGGCGACCGCGGCGUUAAUCUCGACAGCACAAUCUGAUUCACGGCCACCAUCUUUUUCGCAGGAGAUUAGAAGGGGAGGAUUUACAGUCGGGAAUCUCAGACCAAACAUCACAUCAGGAUCUGAUGGAGUCACCCAGCUUAAAGUAUCCUGAAUAUCAUUGGAUUUUGAACAUGGAAGGACAAAGCAAUGUUCACACUGUGGAGAAACCGUGGAAAUGUGGGGAUUGUGGGAAAGGAUUCAAUUACCUGUCUGUGCUGGAAACUCAUCGAAGCAGCCACACCUGCUCUGAAUGUGGGAAGGAAUUCACCAAUUCAACCACCCUGCUGACACACCAGCGAGUUCACACUGGCGAGAGGCCAUUCACCUGCUCCAUAUGUGGGAAGGGAUUCACUACCUCAUCCCAUCUGCUGAAACACCAGCGGGUUCACACUGGGGAGAGACCUUUUAAAUGUCCAGACUGUGGGAAGUGUUAUAAAUGUUCGGGGAAUCUGAUGUCCCAUCAACGUGUUCACACUGACGAGAGACCAUUCAGGUGCUCUCAGUGCGGGACUGGGUUCAGGUGGUCAUCUCACCUCACUGACCACCAACGAGUUCACAGUGGGGAGAGGCCAUUCACCUGCUCUGAGUGUGGGAAGGGAUUCACUCAGUUAUCCCACCUGCUGAGACACCAGCACGUUCACACUGGGGAGAGACCGUUCACCUGCUCCGAGUGUGGGAAGGGAUUCACUGAUUCAUCCAGCCUCCUGAGACACCAGCAAGUUCACACUGAAGAGAGGCCUUUCAAAUGCCCAGACUGUGGAAAGUGUUUUAAAAGUUCCAGGAAUCUGAUGUACCAUCAACGUGUUCACACUGACGAGAGACCUUUCAGAUGCUCUCACUGUGGGACUGGAUUCAGGCAAUCAUCUCAUCUCACUGGACACCGGCGACUUCACACUGAGGAGAGGCCAUUCAUCUGUUCUGAGUGUGGGACGGGCUUCACCACGUCAUCCACCCUGCUGAUACACCAGCGAGGUCACACAGACAAGAGACCUUUUAAAUGCCCAGACUGUGGGAAGUGCUAUAUAAGUUCGGGGAAUCUGAUGCUCCAUCAACGUGUUCACACUGACGAGAGACCGUUCAGGUGCUCUCAGUGUGGGACUGGGUUCAGGUGGUCAUCUCACCUCACUGACCACCAGCGAAUUCACUCUGGGGAGAGGCCGUUCACCUGCUCUGAGUGUGGGAAGCGAUUCAUUCAGUCAUCCAGCCUGCUGAGACACCAGCGAGUUCACACUGGGGAGAGACCGUUCACCUGCUCCGAGUGUGGGAAGGGAUUCACUCGGUCAUCCCACCUGCUGAGACACCAGCGAGUUCACAAGUAACUACAGUGAUUGGGUUUUGCUGUUAAUCACAUCCAGAACUGAACCAUGUUCAUUGAGGUCUCUUUCUGCUGAUGUCAGUAAACUCCAGGUUUGCAAUUCGAUUUGUGUUGGAUAUUGAAGCGAAUCUGAUUUCAAAAUGAGGACAUUAAAUCCAGGAAUUAAUCCUGAGGAAAAUGGAUCACACUGUUUGGAAGGAUGUGGAGCUGAGAAGCGGAAGCUGUGAAUGAAGUUAUUGAUGAUUGAAUGGAUAGCAUUGGGUACUUGUUUAACAUCAUGGCCGUGUGGUUAAGUAGAUGGUUUUAAAAUUCAUUGGGGUUUCAUCAGGUAAGUUCAAGUCUUACCGACUGUGAUUUACAUUAUUGCUGAUUUCAACCAGGUAUCUGCAGAACUAACUGUUGGGUCAAUGGAAGAAAAGACAAACAAAAAUCCUUAUUUGCUCUGAAGAAAAGUCAUAUGCACUCGAGAUGUUAGCUCCCUUUCUUUCUCCACAGGUGCUACAAGACUUGUUGAGUGUUUCCAGUAUUUUCUGUUUCUAUUUCAAAUUUCCAGAAUUCACAGUAUUUAGUCUUUAUCCAAACAUUCUUGUGAUUUUUGGACUCUCAGGGAAUGAAGGGUCCUUGGGAUCGGGUGGGAAAUUGGUGUUGAGGCUGGAGAUCUGCCAUGAUCUUAUUAAGUGACGGAGGAGGCUUGUGGGGCCUUUUAUCUACCUUCUUGCAGUGCACCUGCUGAACAAUAUAAGCUUAUGACAGCUCUGCUUUCUUCACAUUGAAACCCAGUGUGAAAAUAUGAACAAUUUCAAAGCUGGACAACGUAUACAAGACUGGAAGGAGAGUGUGAGUGUGGAUAAUCGGCACUGAGCACAUUCCUGUAAUCAGUAUCUGGGAGAAUCAGGAAGAUGAGAUCCUGGUAUCUCUUUAACCUGUUGCCUGCAAAUCCAUCGCCUUGUUUCUUACAUUCCCACAAACUGACAGUGUCUGCAUCAAGCAGCUAAUUGA